AACGAACGCUGGCGGCAUGCCUAACACAUGCAAGUCGAACGAAGGCUUCGGCCUUAGUGGCGCACGGGUGCGUAACGCGUGGGAGUCUGCCCUUGGGUUCGGAAUAACAUCUGGAAACGGAUGCUAAUACCGGAUGAUGACGUAAGUCCAAAGAUUUAUCGCCCAAGGAUGAGCCCGCGUAGGAUUAGCUAGUUGGUGAGGUAAAGGCUCACCAAGGCGACGAUCCUUAGCUGGUCUGAGAGGAUGAUCAGCCACACUGGGACUGAGACACGGCCCAGACUCCUACAGGAGGCAGCAGUAGGGAAUAUUGGACAAUGGGGGCAACCCUGAUCCAGCAAUGCCGCGUGAGUGAUGAAGGCCUUAGGGUUGUAAAGCUCUUUUACCCGGGAUGAUAAUGACAGUACCGGGAGAAUAAGCCCCGGCUAACUCCGUGCCAGCCGCCGCCGUAACAC
rnacentral:rRNA from 1 species